rnacentral:rRNA from 1 species
GACGAACGCUGGCGGCGUGCUUAACACAUGCAAGUCGAACGGAAAGGCCCUGCUUUUGUGGGGUGCUCGAGUGGCGAACGGGUGAGUAACACGUGAGUAACCUGCCCUUGACUUUGGGAUAACUUCAGGAAACUGGGGCUAAUACCGGAUAGGAGCUCCUGCUGCAUGGUGGGGGUUGGAAAGUUUCGGCGGUUGGGGAUGGACUCGCGGCUUAUCAGCUUGUUGGUGGGGUAGUGGCUUACCAAGGCUUUGACGGGUAGCCGGCCUGAGAGGGUGACCGGCGACAUUGGGACUGAGGUACGGCCCAGACUCCUACGGGAGGCAGAAGUGGGGAAUAUUGCACAAUGGGCGGAAGCCUGAUGCAGCAACGCCGCGUGCGGGAUGACGGCCUUCGGGUUGUAAACCGCUUUCGCCUGUGACGAAGCGUGAGUGACGGUAAUGGGUAAAGAAGCACCGGCUAACUACGUG